rnacentral:rRNA from 1 species
CUACGUGCCAGCAGCCGCGGUAAUACGUAGGGCGCAAGCGUUGUCCGGAAUUAUUGGGCGUAAAGAGCUCGUAGGCGGCUGGUCGCGUCUGUCGUGAAAACUUCCGGCUCAACCGGGGGCUUGCGGUGGGUACGAGCCGGCUAGAGUGCGGUAGGGGUAACUGGAACUCCUGGUGUAGCGGUGGAAUGCGCAGAUAUCAGGAAGAACACCGAUGGCGAAGGCAGGUUACUGGGCCGUUACUGACGCUGAGGAGCGAAAGCGUGGGGAGCGAACAGGAUUAGAUACCCUGGUAGUCCACGCCGUAAACGUUGGGCACUAGGUGUGAGGCUCCUUUCCGGGGGUUUUGCGCCGUAGCUAACGCAUUAAGUGCCCCGCCUGGGGAGUACGGCCGCAAGGCUAAAACUCAAAGGAAUUGACGGGGGCCCGCACAAGCGGCGGAGCAUGCGGAUUAAUUCGAUGCAACGCGAAGAACCUUACCAAGGCUUGACAUGUUAACCGGGCUCUAGAGAUAGG